rnacentral:rRNA from 1 species
AUGGCAAUACAAAAGCAAUGGUUUGAUGCACUUGAUAGGUUGUCUCCUAUGCAGGCCACUGUACUUGCCGUUUCAGUGUGGCAUAUCUGGGAAGCUCGCAACACUGCUCGUAAUGGUGAUGACCAUGUGCAGCCUACCUGCGUUGCUAUGAAAAUUCUUGCCUAUGUGGACCUCAUUCGACAACACUGUUAUGACCCGGACAUUCAGCACAGGCGUGACAAUAUUUGUUUCCCCGAUCGAUGGUCUCCGCCGUCGCCAGGUACAAUUUUGAUUAAUUUUGAUGCUGCUGUUUUUCCUGGUCUACAGAAGGUUGGAGUGGGCAUUGUCAUUCGAGACCAUCGUGGAGCUUGCCUAGUGGCGUGCAGCCAACCUUUAUUAGGAACAGCAACACCGGAGCUUGCUGAAGCAUGGGCAUUACGAAGUGCAGUCUCACUUGCUUCUGCUGAAGGCUUUUCAUCUGUGAUUUUUGCUUCAGACUGCUUGUCCUUGGUGCAACGUAUAAAUUCUUGGUGUGUCGACAGAUCGGUUGUGGGUGCUGUGGUUGCGGAUGUCAAGUUGCUGCUGGAGCCUUUCUCCUCGGCUUCCUUUCGUCAUGUCAAGCGGACUUUGAACAACUCGGCGCAUACCCUAGCUAGGUCUUGUGAACGUGCUGUAUCUUGUUGUAUUUUUCAUUCUGUUUUUGGAUCAACUGUGGGCAGUUGA